rnacentral:pre_miRNA from 1 species
UUUCUACUCCCUCCGUCCGGAAAUACUUGUCAUCAAAAUGGAUAAAAAUAGAUGUAUCUAAAACUAAAAUACGUCUAGAUACAUUUCCUUUUAUCCAUUUUGAUGACAAGUAUUUCCGGACGGAGGGAGUAUUUG